GCAAAUCUCGCCGCAUCCGGGUCGGGUCAUCGGGUCAAAUGUUAAUACGACACCGUUUUGGAGCCACUGAAUGUAGCCCCAAACGGUGUUGUUUUGAACACUAUUAAAGGCCUCUGAAAAACCCUAAAAGGAACUUAAGAAACAGGAGACCUCUCCUUCUGCUCCCAGCCACCUCACAGGCCCGAAAUCUCGCUACUAUCAGCUCCGAUUUGGAACGGAGCAAGCAGCAAUUCCGACGGCGUGCUCACAGGUACGGAGGAGUCCAGCUAUGGAGGUGCGUGUGGGGAGCGACACAAAGGUGUAGUGGCGCACGCACGAGAGGGGAGCAUGCUGGCUGUGCAGUCAUGCGGCGCCUAGGGUUUUCCAGGGUUUCCUGCUUCUGAUUUUGGGCUGCGUUGUGCCUUGGGCCCGGGUUAGAUAGGGUAUUCGGGCUAGGGUCUGUUGGGUCUAGUAUUUUCCGGGUUUUGGUAUUUUGAGUCUUGGUAUUUAGAAAUUGAGCCUAUUGUAUUGAGUUAGGUGUUAUUAGGCUGCUUUUUUAAUUAUUUCUUUGGACUUUUGGACUAUUAUUUUAUUUUAUUUAGUUUAUAUAUGUGAUGUAUAUGGGCGGGACAUAAAUUGGGUAUUACAUGUGAGAGAUCUUGUGUCCAAAUCUCUUUCCUUAAAGUUGUUUUUUUUCCCAAA